UACGUCGGUGGCAAGCGUUGUCCGGAUUUACUGGGCGUAAAGAGCGCGCAGGCGGUCGUGCAAGUCGCGUGUGAAAGCCCCCGGCUCAACUGGGGAGGGUCACGCGAUACUGCUCGACUUGAAGGCAGGAGAGGGAAGUGGAAUUCCCGGUGUAGUGGUGAAAUGCGUAGAGAUCGGGAAGAACAUCGGUGGCGAAGGCGCUCUACUGGACCACAACUGACACUCAGGGACGAAAGCUAGGGGAGCGAAUGGG
rnacentral:rRNA from 1 species